rnacentral:lncRNA from 1 species
CUCUUCCCCCUCAACUUGCACUUGAAUGGUGCAAAUCAAUGCAUAUUUAUAAGUCCCCACCUUCAAAUAAUUGGCUCGGCAUAUUUUCAAUGGUAUUCCGCAAAACCCUAAAACGUAGCCACCAUAAAUGUCAUGAUAUAUGAUGCUCUUUGGAUCCUUUUUGCUCGAGGAAACACGAAGGGAUGUGAUUCAGGCUAGGCUGGGCUGGGCAAUUGUAAACACGCUUUCCUGUCAAAAUUUGGCUAUUUUAUCCGUAAAUCAUCUUGAUCAAUUAAUUUGCUUGAAUUUUCUGGCAAAUGGUAUCGUCACAAUCUAAUUUUAUUUCCACAUUGAAAUGGCAAAAUCACCUACUUUAUGACCAAAUUGUUUCUUGGAGUUUUUUUUUUUUUGGCUCAAAAAAAAAAAGAAUGAAAUUUAAGAAGAUGAGAGGGAAAAGAAAAUUUAAAUUCGUGACCUCUAUGUCGUCUUGAGAGACGCCUCUCUUCGCCGGAGUUGAGAAAAUUGAGAAAAGGAACUUGGGUAUUCAUUUCCGUGCCUGUGGAAAUAAAAUUUGAACUGGGUCAUUAAUGGCAGCGAGUUUUCUAGCUGUAAUGGGGCUGAAGCCCAAAUUGUAACAUUUUUGAUUGCAGAUACGGAGGGAAGGCUGUGCAUCAGUGGUGGCGGUUGCACAAUGGAAGCAACCCAACUAAAUUCGCGGACCGUUGAUGCAAUGAAGUCCAAAAACCAACGUAAGUAAAUCUUCCUUUGGGCCGGAUAGAGGCAUUCAUUUUGUCUUCUUAUCCAGCUGAAUGAAGUUACUUAGACCCAAAAGAGACUGCUAGCGCGACAGCGUCCGUACACAGACACAAACCAAGAGAAACGGAAGCUGCGAGACUGUGAAGGUGCCAAGAAACCUCGUCGGUCAUCAUUUUAUGGAGCUUUCACCCCCUCCAGCAUGCACGUCUGAAUGGCGAAGCCACGUAGAUUUGUCGCCUUCUUCGUCAUGUCCCCCCUUUUUAUUCAUUCAACGCCACCUCUUCCAAGCUUACACUUUCGUCAUCUUGCUCAGAAAAUGUCUCAGAAAAUUUUUAUGAUCUCGCCAUUUUCGUUCUUCAUAUGCUUAAUCUUAGUUUUAUGUUUCACCUGUAUAAAUGUGGGAGCUGCUUCCGAUGAGGAGAGUGAAUCCUAUUUGGGAUCUUUGGUGAAGAAGAAAGAUGAACGGAAGCUAAUUUCUUCGAGUGAAUAUGGAGAGAUAUCAGGGGUUAGUGUUAGAGAGCGGACGGAUUUGUCGUAUCACCUUCAGUUCAUCACCUUGAAGCCAUUUGCUCUUUUCCUCCCCGUUGUAUUACAUGCAAAUAUGGUUUUCUAUGCGCAAACAGGUAAGCAAAACAAGAGCCUAGAGUUUAUCCAAUUAAAUCUUCAUUGUAUGUUGCGGUCUUUAAAAGGACUCGUACUAUUGCUAAUUUUUGGUGCAUUAUUAAGUUACUAUAUAUUGGUGUGUGAAACAUGGGAUGUGGUGAUUCAGAUUCAUCAGGCCAUGAAUUCAGAAUUUCUCUUUUUCCCCACAAUGUUGAAGUCGUGGCCUAAAACUUUGCCAUGAAAUAUGAGAGUGUUGCAGGUUCUGGGAAGCUGAGUUACACUACCGAAGCGGGCCGCAUGCUGACAAAGACGUUGAGACAAGGAGAUACUUUGGAACUCAAUCCAGGGACUAUUUUCUUCAUGGAGGCCAUCCACUGUGUGGACGAACUAAGAGUUUACGCUAUCUUUGGUAAUUUGAGGGAACAUUUCCGCGUAAGAACUUUCAACGCCCCUGAAUUUGUUUCUUUUAUCUUAUACUAAUUUGUAACUCUUCAGUUGGGUUUCCAUAGGGACCGGCAACGACAGCACCAUACUCUAGUUUCCGCCACCUGAUCCUCGGCUUUGAUAAAAUGAUUCUGCAACUAACCUUCAAGGUACAUCAGAAUUUGGGUUUAUUUAGUGGGUGUAAUUGCCUCCUUCCCAGUUAACUAGCAUGUUUGGCUUGAUUUAGGAAAAGAGACAGUAUGCGGUUUGGAUUAAGGGCUUCGAUCUUGUUAAAUGAAUUUAGUGAUGCAAAAUUGUGUUUGAAGGUGCCUGAAGAUGUGAUUAAAGAGAUAAUGAAUAAACCGAACCCACCGGCCAUUGUUUCCAGCGUCUCGGGAACAAUGGAAAAAUUAUGGGAUUUGGAAGCUCGUUUCAUUAAAGAAUUAACAAGAAGCACGGGGCCCAACCUCCUCAACAUGCUUGGCUUAGAACGAGAUUGUGGGAACCAUAAUGGGUGGAGAACAACAUCAAACAAGAAAAAGCUCCCAGAUUUCAAAGGUUUCAAAGGUUCCAACUUUGGUGUUUCCGUAACAAAUUUGACCAGAGUAAGCGUGGCUACAGUCAGUUAGCUCUUAAUUGGCUCCCUGCAUUAUGCUGCAAUGCCUCAAAUAACUAAUUAUUUAAAUCAUCAACAAUUGACACAUAUGAUGAUUGACUCGAAUGUUUAUCUGACAAAAUGGAAAAUUCCAGGGAUCGAUGGUGGCGCCGCACUGGAAUCAAAUGGCGACUGAGAUAGUAAUUGUUUUACAAGGAAAAGGAAUUGUUCUAGUGGUUUGUUCUAGCAUUUUUGCUAAACAAAAUGAAUGCAAAAACAUGAGGUUUCAAGUGGGAGAAGGUGAUGUGUUUGUCGUGCCAAGGUUCCAUCCUACAGCUCAAAUGUCUUUCAGUGAUGAAACAUUUGUUUUCAUGAGAUUUAGUACCACAAGAAAGAAAAUUAGCCAUCAAUAUCUGGUUGGUAAAACUUCCAUUUUCAAGACCUUAGGCAAACGUAUAUUGGCAGCAUCACUGGGUGUUAAUGAAACAAUAGCAGACAUGGUUAUGGCUUCACAGAGGGACUCCGUAGUCUUGGAUUGUAAUUUGUGUGCAGAGGAAGAAUUAAGGAUGAUGGAGGAGGAAAUAGAAAAGGCAAAACAGACGGAACCAGAGACCCCAGAAGCAGAAGUAGAAGCUGGAGAAGGAACUGAAAAACCAGAAGAAGAAUCAGGGGAAGGGAAAGAUCGACCAGAGAAACCAGAAGCUAGAGCCAGGGAAUAUAAAAAUGAAGUCACAAUCAAAGAAAAGAGAUGAGCAUAGGCUUGAAAGGGAUGUAAUUCAAACUCAAUAUUCAGCUUUUGUUGUUAAUCAGAUUUGCAUUGCUGAAGUAAUUAGUGUUUAUUUCUAUGUACAAUUGCCGAUUUUUCACACAGAGAAGGUUGGUGGCAUUUGGGGGUGUGGUAUUGUUCUGCAUGGCAGACGACUCCUAGGACUCGUAUUUCAGUAUGGUAUAUAUCUAGGAGCUGAGUAGCCUUUCCAAUUUCUUAAUCACGCACGCGCGUAGCAAUAUCAUAAAAUUGACCAAAUCAUCAUCUACUUGUAUUUCUGCAUAAACUGAUCUAAUAUCUUUCGUAACUUUAUCAGAGUAUAACAUUUUGUGAAUCAUAGAGGAAUGCAAAACUAAUUAUUUCAGCUCCAUUCUUGCCUUUGACUUUCAUCUCGUAGUCAACUUAUCAGCAAAUUUACGGAAAUAAUGUGCAAAUGACAAUGAAGAGAAUCCAGCAGUGAAGUGCUGCAUUAGCAUUUAUAUCCAUGUUAUGCAGAUACCCUUAAAUGUGUUUGAAAUUUCAAAACUUUGCCCUUCCAAUUUGUAGGUUCAUGAGCAGCUGGGGGAUUUCACAAAUCUUAGAAGGGAAAGGAGAAAGAAAAGAGAGUCAAAUAAAAAAAAUCUCAGAAUCACAUAACUUAUGUUCCUGCCACCCAAAUUGAGUUUUCAGGACGGAUGAUUAUUAAUUUUUCUGUAAAAAUAGAACGCAGCCCCCAUUUUGCAGGUUGCUCUUUGUAAUAUACCUCGAAAGAAUGGAAAUGGAAGUAUGGCCCUUUUUUUUUUUUUUUAAUUUUAAUAGAAAUACCCCAUUAUCUACAAUGGUCAUGAAUUGACCAUUGCAUAGAAAAGUUCAAGAUCAUUGCAUCAUUAGCCUACUCAAAAUCGGCGCUCUCGCCUGAAGACAAGUUUGAAUAAAAACCACCCAGCUACGGCUAAGGUCUCAUGCAUUUUUGCAUGAAUGUUUCAACAUGUUCAACACGAACAGCUGCCUCGUGGCACCUUCAAAUUGCCCCGUGUCCAUGCAAAAGCCACGUCGCUUCUCUAAUCCCUGUUUCCAAUUCCCCCUCCCCCUCCCCUAUAAAACCACCGGUUCUGACCAGCUCCUUUCUUCACUUCUCAUUAGUCCAAAAAUUUCAAAAAUGUCCACCGAAAAAUUGUUGUCAGCAUCUUCAAUUUCGCUCUUAGGCUUUGGUUUAUGCUUAUUUCUCUGCGUGCAUGCUACCGCUGGGGAAGAUGGUCAGACUGUCCCCGGAGCAGGACAUUUAGUAAAGAAAGGCGAAAGGCAGCCAAUAAUCUCAACUGGAUUUGGAGAGGUCUCGGGAGUUAGAGUUAGCGAUGGAAACGAGACUUUUAAUAUUCACCUCAUCACCUUGGAGCCCAACUCCUUGUUUCUGCCUGUUAUGCUGCAUCAAGACAUGGUGUUCUACGUUCAUACAGGUAAUUUUAUUAUUAUUAUUUUUGUUUAAAGGUGCUUGGACUCGGGCUGAACCUUCAAUUCCUUGAAUUCAGCUGUAUCUAAUUAGUCUGAUAGUGUCUAUAUUAUCAAGAACAAGAAAUCACCAGUAGUGACUUGUCUUAAUCAUUGAAUUUUGUCAAAUUUUGCGGAGUUCAUCCUGCUGUUUGUGUACAGGGAGCGGAAAUCUGAGCUACAGAGAUGAAAAUAAAAGAGAGAAUACGACCAUAAGACGAGGAGAUGUUUUUCGUCUGGGAUCAGGAAGCGUUUUCUUCAUACAGAGCGACGUAGGUCUGGAGAGACAGAAGCUAAGAAUUUAUGCCAUAUUUGGCAAUGCAGGGGAGGACUUGAGAGUAAGAGACUAAGAGCACUAUUUUUGUCAUUUCACUGAUUUUGUCAAUUGACAAUGGAUGCCUUCAGUUUUCAUACGUGAGUGACCAUGACCAUGAAUAUUGCACUAUCUAAACUUCUUGAUCUUAGGAACCGACUGAAUACGGACCAUACUCGAGCGUUCGCGACUUGGUUCUUGGAUUUGAUAAGAAAAUUCUCCAGGAGACCUUCAAGGUAUGUUAUCUAAUCUAGCAUGUGGUAAAAAGAGUAAAGAGAGACAGGACUGUUUCUUGAAAUCCCUCAUUUUGGGUUGUAACCCCUGGUGCAAAAUGGUACUCAAGGUUCCUGAAGAAGUGAUAGAGGAAAUGACAAGCGGAAGGAAGCCGGAAGCAAUAGUUCGUGGAUUGCCGGGCACUCAGGAAAAAACCAUACGGGAGAGGGAGUAUCAGUUCAUCGAAGCCGUGUUUGGAAGCACAAGUAUUUUCAGCAUUUUCGAAACCAGCAACAAAGACAAGAAGAAGUCCAAAAAAUUCAACAUAUUCCAAGAAAAACCAGAUUUUGAGAAUUGCAACGGGUGGAGCACAACAGUUACCCGGAAAAAGUAUUCCGUCCUGAAGGGCUCCAAAUAUGGCCUUUUCAUGGUGAACUUGACCCGCGUGAGUUUUUAAUCUGAGUUUGCCUGAAAUUUGUAGCUUGCAGUUAGCAAUAUGCAAGAAUGUGCUACUUACCAUACAAAAUUUUCCCACUCUGUUCUGGGUCUGUGCUAGUAACGUAGUAGCCAUUAGUAAAUAGGUGAUUGCUGAUGGGCUUUAUUUUACUUUUUUUUUUUUUUCUAGGGAGGAAUGAUGGGUCCUCACUGGAAUCCCGAGGCAACGGAGAUAGCAGUAGUACUGCAAGGGAAGGGGAUGGUUCGGGUAGUUUGCCCAAGUCUACCGAACAAAGCAGAGUGCAAAAACGCGAGGUUUGGGGUUGAAGAAGGCGACAUUUUCGCCGUGCAGAGGUUCCAUCCCAUGGCGCAGAUGGCUUUCAACAACGAAACGCUCGUUUUCGUUGGUUUCAGUACAUCAACGGAGAACAAUCACCCACAGUAUCUAGCAGGGAAGGCAUCAGUCCUCAGGACUUUGGACAAGCACAUCCUGGCAGCAUCAUUUGGAAUAAAUGAAACUACCUUCGACAGGCUUGUGAAUCAACAACGCGAAUCGGUUAUCUUAGAAUGCACCUCCUGCGCAGAGGAAGAAUGGAGGAUAAUGGAGGAAGAGAUUGAGAGGGAAAGAGAGGAGGCAAGGCAGAGGGAAGAGGAGGCAAGGAAGAGGGAUGAAGAGAGGAAAAGACAGGAAGAGGAAGCUGAGACGAGAGAAGAGGAGGAGGCAGCUAGGGAGAGAGCAGAGGAGGAAAGGAAGAAGAGAGAGCAAGAAGAAGAGGAAGAGGCGGCACGGAGAAAGAGAGAGGAAGAGGCAGCACGAGAAAGGAGGGAACAAGAGGAAAGAGAACAAGAAGCAGCACAGAUGGAAGAGAAAGAAAGGGAAGCAGCUAAGCGAGAGGAAGAAGAAGCAGCACAAAGAAGACAAGAAGAAGCUGGCCAGGGAGAAGGAGGGCGCCCACACGAAGGGGGCAGGGAAGCACGGCCGCCGGAGGAAGACGGAAGAGGAGGAGUAGGAGCCAGGCAGGAGGAGGAAACUGCAAAGCAACAAGAAAAAGAAAUGGGACAAGAGGAGGAGCAGGGCAAUGGCCAAGGAUGGGGAAGAAGAAUCCUUAAAAAUGCUUCUUGACUGUGUCUAGUAAUGCUCAAAAGUAGACGUUUCCAGUGAGCAUAAAGCUGAAUAAGCAGUUUUGUUU